rnacentral:rRNA from 1 species
UACGUAGGGGGCUAGCGUUGUCCGGAAUCACUGGGCGUAAAGGGUGCGUAGGUGGUGAGGUAAGUCGGAUGUGAAAUCUCCAAGCUCAACUUGGAAAUGGCAUUGGAAACUACCUUGCUGGAGGUUUGGAGGGGGGACUGGAAUUCUCGGUGUAGCAGUGAAAUGCGUAGAUAUCGAGAGGAACACCAGUGGCGAAGGCGAGUCCCUGGACAAAACCUGACACUGAGGCACGAAAGCUAGGGGAGCAAACAGG